UGAACCAAAACAAAGGACUUGACACUGUGCUUGCUUCAGAAGAUCACGUGUGACAUCGUUUUCAGGCUCAUUUCUCCAGAUCUGGAGAGCUCUGGUCCAACCAUAAACCAAGUUUAGAUGAUAUUUGAUAUUAGAUGAUAAUUUAUGUGCAAGACAGUCAAUUUUGGCAGCUGAAUGAACUGGGCUCUAAGGAUUCACAUUCUUAUAGGAAAAUAAAUGUAGAUUUACCUGGAUUUCUGCAUAAUGUUCCUGAUAUCCUUUAACUUUAUUGUCGACUACUCUUAGCGCAGUACGAAUGGUUUUGCUCUUAAUUUUGUUGCUGAACUACAGUAGUGGCCAAAAGUCAUGACCGGAAGGGAUAUUUUAUUUUAAUGAGCCUACAAGUUCGACGAAACUAUCAAAAUAUGAGGAAAAUGUUUUUGUUUUCGUUUUAAAUAUGUGGGAAGAACUAAACACUAAACGUGGGUAAGGUAUUUAUCUGACAAAAUUAUCUGGCAAAAAAUGCAAACUCUCAGGGAAAAGCAUACACUGACUACAACAUAAUCAGUUAUUAAUCAUUCGUUGGCUCUCUUUGUUUUUGUUGUUCAUAAUUUGUUACGCAAAUACGCUCUGACACUAGAGGGCUCCCGCGGCCCGACAGUCUGAGCCAAUCACAAAGUUCAGAACGAGUGACGUACAUACGUCAUGUACUUGCAGGCCUACGUGACGCGCGAGUCUCGAAUCAACUGAUGUUUUGUGUUAAUGAACUCUCUGCGUGAUUCCCCAAGGUUUCCACACCGCGAAAUGUAUGAGGAAAUGUCAGCAGAGAGAAACUGGACGGACACCGAGACGAGGGCGCUGCUGUACAUCCGACAGGACGAAGAAAUCAGUAGGCAAAUCAGCGGAACCGUUCGCGAUUCUCUUAUUUACGCCGAAAUAUCGAGGCUCCUUCGGGCACAAGGCAUCCACAGAACCAAGCGACAGGUCACCACCAAACUGAAAACACUCAAGCAGAAGUUCCUGAAAAUUCACGAGCAUCACAAAAACAGCGGGCACGGUAGAGUGUACUGGAAUUAUUAUGAUCUCUGCAAGUCCAUAUGGGGCAGCAACCGUCUUACAAACACUUUAACACUUAAUAAUAACGUGAAACUCGAAGAGCCCCAGAGUACAUCCAUCGAGGACGCGCGACAUGAGAGCAGAUCCACUGACAUCGAGGUGUCCAUCACUCACGAUGACGCGGAGACGGAUGACAUGACAGAAGGUGCCUUGAUGCGUGCUGUUAUAACAUUGUCCCUCAACCUGCGAGGAAGAAGGCCAAAAAACAUUCCAUUUCUGACUCCGUAAGAGAUCAAGACCCUCUCCAUGUGCAGAACCAGAGGGAGUACGAGGAACGGUUGCGAAGGGAAGCCAGAGAAGAACAGAAGGAGGAACAGGCGAGUCUGAUGGCCAUGUGGAAGGAGAUGAUGGAGUUUCAAGGAAACCUCUUAAGGGAGUUUAUCCACCGGCCGUCCCUGCCUACAUCUCUGCCUUCACAUCCAUCUUACUACAGACACGCUCAUCACAACCAAGGACACUCUACUUUUCCCAGCACUAGCUGCAUGACACCGUACGCCUCGCCAGGAGCUGAAACCGAGAAUGAAAGUGCAAUCUCACAGGAGGAAGAUGAGGAGGAGGAAGAGGAGAAAUACGUUAUUCCAGCUGAGAUUGCACCGAUGUUGGACGCUCAGCCUGUUAACAGUGCAAACGACAGCCAAUCAAACACCGCAGAGACUGUUUCACCCCCGCCUACGCAAUCAGCAGGAAAGAGCGAUCUGGAGAUGUCUGUGCUGCGCAGACAGGAAAGAGUCCUGGAGCUUCAGGAAGAGUACUAUUCACUCAAAAUCAAGUAUCUGAAAGACAAGAUGGCCAAAGAUUCAGGACAGAACGAUAAAGAGGAGUGUUAACUGUUUGUUUGAUUGGCCAAAAAGCUUGCUUUGCUAAUGUAGAUGUUCUCAGCUGGACUGUGGAGAAUAUAGUUGUAUAUUACUGUGUCUGAGUACUAAAGUGCACCUCAUGUUCCUUUACACAUUUGUAAUCCAUAUUAUAUAUUUUGGCCUGUAGAUGGCAAGGUGGUUACUUGUUUCUGGUGUUGUCACUAGACGUAUCUAAGAGGGAUUUACAGACAGGGCUUGUUUUUUUUUUUCUUUCUUUAAACAUAUGAAUAUUUAUAUACAUUUAUUCACUGAAUAAAUGGCAGUUUACUACCAGCUGUUGGUUUUUGGGACAUUAUUUUGCCUUUGAAAUCAAAAUUGUCCCCAUUUACUUAUUCUAAAUGAUUCAUUGAUUUAUGUUAUGCAACACCCACUUUUCACAAUCAAUUCCUAAUGGAUAAAAGUCUUGCUCUACCUCGUACAGCAGUAAAAUGUGUUGUAAAUGCAGUUUAUUGAUGACUGUAGGAGCGUGAGCUAGACUUUGUGCUCUGAAUAUGAAGUAUGUCUGGAGAGGACAUAAUAUCUGUUAUCAUAAUUUUUUAUUAAAUGAAUGAAAAACA